AUGCUGAAAAUGUACACUGGUGAUCUCGGGGCCCUGGAUGCACAGUAUCAGGCAAUCAGCUUCCAUGAGUGGAAAAUAAAGGAUGACUGUCGAGCAGAACAGUUCUGGGCCGAAGUUCUGAACUACAAGGACAGCAGUGGGGAACAGUGUUUUAAAGAUCUGGCCCUGUUUGCGCUGUCUCUUCUUGCGAUGCCUUUAAGCAAUGCAGAUGAUGAAAGAGUUUUUUUUUCACAAAUGAACCACCUAAAGUCUAAAUUGCGGAACAGAAUGGGGCAGAAAACACUCAGUAGCAUACUGUACGUUCGCUACGGCCUAAGAAGACUCGGAAUUUGUUGCAAGGACUUUGUCCCAAGCCAAGAAAUGUUGCAGCUCUUUAGUGUUGGGAUGUACAGAGGUGGAAAGGAGACCUCUGGGGAGAUGAUGGACAGUGCAGGGGAGGAGAGGGAUGACCUUUUUUUUUGUAAGGUGAUCGGAGAUGAGGAAAGUGGUUCUCUCCGCUUUGUUGCCGUUCCCUGAUUUUUUUAUUUUUUUAUCCUUUUUUUCUUAAACAGUUUGUCCUUUUGUAAUAAAGCAGUUGUUUCCGUUUAAUAUGUUGCAGGCUCAUUUAUUGUUAAUAAAUGAUAAUGCGGAAAAUAAAUAAUCAAAUGAUAUUGGGCUUGUUUUGGGCUUGUUUUUGAAGCUCCAGUUGCGUAUUUGUCUCGCGAGAGUUGGCAACUGUGAUCUGGUUUAGUAAUGCAUAUAGUAAACCCGCUAGAACAGUUUAUAACAGCUGAGUUAUGAUAUAUAUCAGUUUAAUGACUGCAUAAAUAUGUUAAAUCCGUACACACAUUAUCUCACUGGUCACACUUGUAACCUAACAAAAUAAAAAUAUUUCUAAGGGUUACUGAUAACAAUUUGGAUGUGUUAAUAUAUGGGAACACAUUUGUGAUUAAACGAGUUAAUAUUAAAUAAAAGCCGUUUUAAUUUAAUGUGUAAAACAAUAAAAAUAGCUUUAUUUGUGUUUAUCACAAACAUCUUUGGCGGGAAAGUGAGACAAAGAACUGUGAGUGGGAGGAGAUCGGAAGCAGUAAAAUUUAGAAGCCUGUGAUUGGCUGAUGUGUCUGUCUAGCCCGCACAUUUUUAACCAAUGAAAUAUGUUUCUUUCAAUCAUUGUACGAAAAGACCCAAUCAGGAAAAAGCAGCCAGCCCUCCUAAAUUAGCAUGAGCAUUGUAUAAAUCCCCAGUCCAUUAUCUUAAACACUUAUUGUGUUGUUCUACUCAUCGUGAACUAACAUGCCUGAACCAGCGAAGUCCGCUCCUAAGAAGGGCUCCAAGAAGGCCGUCACCAAGACCGCCACUAAAGGAGGAAAGAAGCGCAGAAAGUCCAGGAAGGAGAGCUACGCUAUCUACGUGUACAAAGUGCUGAAGCAGGUCCAUCCUGACACCGGCAUCUCUUCGAAGGCGAUGGGGAUCAUGAACUCUUUCGUCAACGACAUCUUCGAGCGCAUCGCCGGUGAGUCGUCUCGUCUCGCUCACUACAACAAGCGCUCCACCAUCACCUCGAGAGAGAUCCAGACCGCCGUGCGUCUGCUGCUGCCCGGAGAGCUGGCCAAACACGCCGUGUCUGAGGGCACCAAGGCCGUCACCAAGUACACCAGCUCCAAGUAGAUCUUCGUUCCGACUCCGAAACACAAAGGCUCUUUUAAGAGCCACCCAUCUCAUCACUUAAAGAGUUUGCAUAAUUUUAGUCUGUUUUUCUGAAACUGGAAUGCUUCUUUCUGGCGAAUAAAACGUUAUAAAUCGCAGUUUUAUAUCAAGAUAGUAACGGUCUUUGAAACCAUUGUUUUGACCUCAAUCAAGGGUUUGUGUCUUAUCUGUAUGUCACCAGUGGGCUUGAUCUUUUUUUUUUUCGGUGUAACCCUUCGAUUUUAAUGCUUUUUUGGGGGGGCACAUAAGAAUAUAUAAAAUUUUAUUUUGGUAUUCGCACAAUGGAGUCUAAAAUAAAUGCACAUUGUAUUGCACAAUUCCGAUUGAUUGCGUCGUGAUUACAAUAUAAUGUUGAAGAAAGUUUCCAAUAAAACACAUUAAUGAAAGGCGUGCAGUUCAAUAAAGACUUGAUUUGAAAGGAACCUCGAGAGCAACCGUUUUUAUCAAAAUUUUUGAACGUGUGAUUUUAUACCCGUUAUUUUAUCAGCUUUUGCACAUAAUCGCGUGUUUUAUUUUCAAAUGUAUAUUCGUUUUCUGUGUAUCAUAUAUAUAUAUAUAUAUAUAUAUUUUUUUUUUUUUUUUUUUUACAUUAAAAGGAAAGCGUGGCAGAGAGAGACGGGGCUUGGAGUUUUGAGGGGCUUUCAGUGAUUGGUUUACAGCUGUGACAGAUUCUGACCAAUAGACGACGAGCACAUCUCUUAUAAAACGAUCGGCAAACCAUGACUCCAACAUUUCUGCGUAAAUUUGCAGUGUAAGUUCAACAAUAUCUGAAUAAUGAGUGGCAGAGGUAAAACUGGUGGUAAGGCCAGGGCGAAGGCUAAGACUCGCUCCUCCAGAGCAGGACUGCAGUUCCCCGUCGGUCGUGUUCACAGACUUCUUCGCAAAGGGAACUACGGCGAGCGCGUCGGUGCCGGUGCUCCGGUGUAUCUGGCCGCUGUGCUCGAGUAUCUGACGGCUGAGAUCCUGGAGCUGGCUGGAAACGCCGCUCGGGACAACAAGAAGACCCGUAUCAUCCCCCGUCACCUGCAGCUGGCAGUGCGCAACGACGAGGAGCUCAACAAACUCCUGGGCGGAGUGACCAUCGCUCAGGGCGGCGUGCUGCCCAACAUCCAGGCCGUGCUGCUGCCCAAGAAGACCGAGAAACCCGCCAAAACCAAGUGAACACGAGAGAACACGAUACUCACAAAGGCUCUUUUCAGAGCCACACACAUCCUCUUUAAGAGCCGUUUGAAAUAUGAUGGAUUUAGACUACGAAAAUCGGUUCCUUCAGAGAGAAUCUUCUAAAAAACGGCAGAUAACCACAGAAAAAAUAAAUAUGAUCAGUCCAUCAAAGCUGAGGCAUCAGAUUAUUGUUGAAUGCCAAUCUUCACUGAGGAUAUUAAUACUAAUAAUAUAUAUUAAUAAUUUGCUUGAGUUUGGUUCUAGUUCAGUGGAUUUAUUUGCGGUUUUGUUGUUAAUUUGUGCAAUAAAAUGUUUGAUUAAAAUAAUAAAAUAAUGGUUUUGUAACAAAAUACAUGUACAAAAUUAGGCAAUUAUAUAGAUUAUCAUAAAAACACUGCACAUGAAAGGGUUUUCAACACACAAACUAUUAAUUUUUGCAAAGUUAUGGUAAAACAAAGCCCUACAAAAAUUCUAAAUUAAGAGCCAUUCAGGAGUCGAAAGAGCCGGUUCUUUGGGAGCUGAGCCAUCACUAGUAACAAAAAUGGGACAAUGAAAUGAGAAAUUUUGAGCGGGAAACGCAGACUGCAGCUGUCUGUUCGAAAAAAGGAAACGCACUGUCAUUGGCCGCCUCGCGCUGUGACGUAAACACAAUAGCCAAUCCAAUGCCGCCGGUGACGCACCGCCCAAUGCUGCAGGAGAUAUUAAAAGUCCCCUGCAAAAGCGUCUGAUCAUUCUGUUGAAGAGAUCAACACAGGAAACUCGAGAAAAUGGCAAGAACCAAGCAGACGGCCCGUAAAUCUACCGGAGGCAAAGCCCCGAGGAAGCAGCUCGCCACCAAAGCCGCCCGUAAGAGCGCUCCAGCCACCGGCGGCGUCAAGAAGCCUCACCGUUACAGGCCCGGCACCGUGGCUCUGCGAGAGAUCCGUCGCUACCAGAAGUCCACCGAGCUGCUGAUCCGCAAGCUGCCCUUCCAGCGUCUGGUGCGAGAGAUCGCUCAGGACUUCAAGACGGACCUGCGCUUCCAGAGCUCCGCCGUCAUGGCCCUGCAGGAGUCCAGCGAGGCUUAUCUGGUCGGUCUGUUCGAGGACACCAACCUGUGCGCCAUCCACGCCAAGAGAGUCACCAUCAUGCCCAAAGACAUCCAGCUGGCCCGCCGCAUCCGUGGAGAGCGCGCUUAAACGCCUGACUUCACAAGUCUUGAAACCCUACAAGGCUCUUUUAAGAGCCACUUCAAUUUGUCUAACAAAAAGCAAUUACCUGAAUUUCUGUAAAACAUGCUGUGUGUACAUACAUUGUCAAGUUUUCUUAAUUAUAUUUUCUAGUUUAACAUUUUCAACAUUAAUAAUCUCAUCUAAUAUAUCUAAUAUAUCGUGUCUCUUCAUAGAUGACCUUCUAUAGUCAUUUUAUAGGAAUUGCUCCGUUUGAUCUUUCCUGAGGGAAGCAACUGACUCACAUUAGAUCUCUCACAAUAACACUACAGCGAAGACACAUCAGAGGAGCA
rnacentral:lncRNA from 1 species